CGCUGGGGGAGGAGGAGGAGGAGUGUGGCUGGAUCUGUGUCGGCCAAAAGCAGAGGAGCAAGGCUCUGAAUCGGGUCUGAGGAAAACGCGAUCCUUGACUCUGCUGGGGAUUUGGUGCCCUGGGGCCCGUUCCUUGCAGGCUUAAACUGGAUCUGGCCUGCAAUUUCUUCUAGUCUGCGCCAAGUAAGUAAAUCCACAGGAAGAAGUCUUACAGCAUCUUGUCCGUCUGUGAGCAGGAGAGCACGUUCUUCCCGUGUUCUUCCCUGUUGGAACCUGAAGAAACUGGCGAUCACACGAGCUGGCUGCGGGGGAGGCGGCACAGGGCAGCCUGCGCCCACGCGGUCACGGGGAUGUCUGGUCUCACAGCAACGCUACGGCACUGGUAAAAACUGUCCUGCCCUUGGCUGUUUGUUAGGCGUGUUUAGAAAAUGAGGGAAAAGCUGGAAAAUCCUCAGCUCGAUGUUCUGGGUAAAGCUGCCACCAGGCUUUCAGGUCCUUGUUCCCAGUUCUGUGGGAGCUUUUCUGGUAAUGGCAAAGGAGCUUUGCCCUGAACCUGGACAGCGGAGCAGAAAAUGCUGUCCUGGAUGCUCCCUGGCAGGCGCUAAUUAAUGGCUCCUCAGAAGCGCUAAGAUCUGUGAAAAAUGCUGCUUUACCAUGAUGUUACUGGCGCAGAACCGUUUUCUCCCUGUGGGGAGUCGGUGUGUGCAGAGGACCGGCAUCCCCCUGCGUGGGUCUUAACAUGAACCUUAACAGGAAUGAUCAGGCCCCUACAAACAAGUAAGAGACAGCUCAAACCAGGCCCAUAAACCCACUUACGCCCGUAGGCAGCUCCCAAAUAAGCUGUUCCACCACCUUCCAGCCUCCCACCUCAGAAGGAGGAGGAGUUUCCCCUGCCUUUCCCCGUGCAGUUAGACCUUCUGCUUUCCUUCAGCAGGCCCCGACGCAGCGUGAGCGCCCGGUUAACAAGGCUGGGGACACGCUGACCUCUGCCUGCCUUUCCCCUGCUGGCUGGAGGACACUUGUUUGUGGCAUUCGGUUGUGAUAAAUGGAAGACAUACGGAGUUUAACCUGCGUCAGCUCUGCGGAGCACGUGCUCGCCUCCGUGCUGAAACGCGUGUGGUUUAACACUUUACAGCCUGGUUAUUGCCCUCUGCCUCUUCCCCUGUCCAGGAAAACUGGUAGGGGAAGGAGAUAUGGGCAGCGCUGUGUGAGAGCAAAGGCUCAUCCCUCUGUGGGAUGACACCGGGCAGUGCAUAUUAAGGUGAACUUCAACCUGCUCCCACAUCCAUCCCCGAGGACUUUGGCUGCUCCACAGGGGCAGCAGAAGGCCACCACACUGGUGCAUCCUCCUGAGCUCCCUGCGCGCCCUCAGCCAUAACCAGGCACCUGCUCCUCCCUCUUCAGGCGGCACUCACCCAGCUGUGGUGACUUAACAUGGUGAAAAAUCAGAUGGUAACACUCUCUUCUCCAAGGUGAUUCAGCCGUAGCUUUGGAACCAGACGGACAGAUGACAGGACCUGGGCUGGGACCUGCGCUGUUGUCUGGCCUUAGGACUUUGCCUGGGCUGAGCGAACGCUUCUGCCUGCCCAGCAUCCCUUCUCCAUCGCAAGGCUCCCCGUCUCCAUGCGUAAGUGCAAAAAUCCCUGGGUAAAAUGUUUCCAGAGAGCUGCUGCAGAGCUAAUGCUGCCUGAACUGAGCCUCUGCGUGGGAAGGGGAUGGACAUUUCUUCUGGUGCGUGGUCCUUGCCCUUGGCCUCCUGUUAUGGGUUGAGCAGCCCCAAAGCCCUGGGGAUGGGCACAUGGGUUUGUCCAGUGGAGCGAUGCCUGGCGAUGAUGGGGUCAUUCAGCUGCUGCCCUCAGGUCAGCCUGAAAUUCUCUGGCACCCGCUCAGGGGCGAAUAAAAUAGCGUUUGCAUAGCACACACCCCAUCACGCCUAUGGAGUGUCCUGCUGUACCACGCAAACAGCCCGGGCUUUAUUCUGGCCCCGUUGUACGAGGUCUCCGUCUGGGAGCAGGCAGCACCCAGGUGCUGGGAGGCGGCCGAGGAUGGGCCUGUCCUGGGCUGCUCCGGGAUCCAACCGGGCACUCGAGCGCCCGGGUCAAGUGGGAAUUCAAACAGAACCCCGCUCGUUUCUGAAGGGAUGUGUUUGUUUGCUGGAUGAGGUUACGCGGGAAAGGUGCCCUGCGGGCUGCGUGGUGGUAAAGCUGCCCAGAAUAGCGGGGGAAGGGGUGAGGGCAUCUGCCACAAACGGUAUUGGACAGCUUUGAGCGUGAUUUGGGGAUCUUUAUGUUAAAGCCGCUGCUUUGCCUCAGAAUAACUCGAAUUGCACUCACAGAACUGACGUGAGCGAGGUUUUCUGCCUUAUUUUGCCCUUGAAACGCAGAUUCAAGGAGCUAAUGGGCCUGUUACACACUUUGGCAACCGGCACGCUUACUGCUCUCGGCAGCUCCUCGUUCCUCCUCUUAUUUCUGGGGCAAACUCCGUCCCUCACUCAGCGCAGCCCGUCCUCGUGUUUCUGCUUUACUUUUUUCCUCUCUUCCCCCCGCUCUGUUUGUUUUCACAAAUCAACAUACGAGCAACAGCUAAAUCACACACCGGUGAAGUUUAUCAGUAUUUUGGAAGCGAUAUUAGUAACGUAUUUGCUACAAAGUCAAUGAGGGGAAGUAAAUGAGGAGGACAUCUCAUGGGUAAAAGCCUGUAUUUUUUUUCCU